GUUGAGGGGAAUGUUGUCUGGUUGGAGACCUAACACCGCGAAUUAAUCAUCCAUGCCAUGGAAGCAGCAUAUGCCCGCCUGCAUCUAUCCAUGCAUGAUGGUGGAAGGUUUCGGACCAGGCUUCAUUCCCCCCAAC
rfam:Zea mays cultivar B73 chromosome 1, whole genome shotgun sequence.